GACGUAGGGCGCGAGCGUUGUCCGGAUUUAUUGGGCGUAAAGAGCUCGUAGGCGGCUCGUUGCGUCGGCUGUGAAAACCCGCAGCUCAACUGUGGGCUUGCAGCCGAUACGGGCGGGCUGGGAUUCGGUUGGAGGGAGCUGGAAUUCCUGGUGUAGCGGUGAAAUGCGCAGAUAUCAGGAGGAACACCGGUGGCGAAGGCGGGUCUCUGGGCCGAUAUCGACGCUGAGGAGCGAAAGCGUGGGGAGCGAACAGG
rnacentral:rRNA from 1 species